UGCCAUUCCUGAGCGUGUGAGAGUGUGGAAGGCAGAGAGAGGAAGGACCUGCAACGCCCGGCCAUACUGAACCUGAGGAAGACCCCACCUUCACGGACGGCAACACCGAAGACCUGGAAACGGACGCCGGUCACAUGGGCCCGUUGCCAUGGUGGGCUCGGCGGCGAUGGGCGGAAUCCUGCUGGCGCUGAUCGAGGGUGCAGGCAUCCUGCUCACCAGAUUCGCCUCCUCACAGUUCCCCACCGGGGCCCAGUUUGCAGAGGAGCCCGCCCCGAUGCCGGCCCCCCCCUUCGGAGAAUACAG